UUUCCAGACUCCUACGGGAGGCAGCAGUGGGGAAUAUUGGACAAUGGGGGGAACCCUGAUCCAGCGACGCCGCGUGAGUGAAGAAGUAUUUCGGUAUGUAAAGCUCUAUCAGCAGGGAAGAAGAAAUGACGGUACCUGACUAAGAAGCCCCGGCUAACUACGUGCCAGCAGCCGCGGUAAUACGUAGGUGGCAAGCGUUGUCCGGAAUUACUGGGUGUAAAGGGAGCGUAGGCGGGAAGCCAAGUCAGCUGUGAAAACUACGGGCUUAACCUGUAGACUGCAGUUGAAACUGGCUUUCUUGAGUGAAGUAGAGGUUGGCGGAAUUCCGAGUGUAGCGGUGAAAUGCGUAGAUAUUAGGAGGAACACCGGUGGCGAAGGCGGCCUGCUGGACGACGACUGACGCUGAGGCUCGAAAGCGUGGGGAGCAAACAGGAUUAGAUACCCCUGUA
rnacentral:rRNA from 1 species